CUCCUAUGGGACGGUGGACACGGGCUAGUGAGGGGGGCAGAGAGCCCUGGGGCUCCCUGGGACUGAGGAGGCAGAAUGGAGGGGCCCUAACUCCUCUCUGUUCUCCAGAGCGCAGAUGUUCUGUGUUUUACGGGGCACCAAGUAAGAGCAGACUCUUGGCCACCUUGUGUUCUGCUGAAGUCUGCCAGUGUGCUGAGGGGAAGUGCCCUCGCCAGCGUCGCGCCCUGGAGCGGGGUCUGCAGGACGAGGAUGGCUACAGGAUGAAGUUUGCCUGCUACUACCCCCGUGUGGAGUACG
rnacentral:sRNA from 1 species